GGACGUGCUGCCUCGUAAAGGGGCCGGGGAGGAGAGCAGAGCAGCGAAGGAGCCGGGUAACCCGCGGGGAGGAGAAGGGGCGUCCCUUCCCCCGCGCAGGGCGCGCUUGGAGCUGCGCCUGCGGUUCUCCGGCAGCCGGCGGCGGCCCCGCGCCCCUCCGCGGGGAGGUGCGGAGCGGUGCGCGCAGGCUGGGCGCGGGGCGGCCGCCGCCGCCGCUGAAGGUGAAGCCCUCGCUCUCCAAUUACUUUUCCCAAGAGGGAGAAGGCGGCGGCAGGAGGGGGAAGCCGCGCUGUGCGCGGACGGCAAACCAAUCAGAGAUGCGCUAACGGAGGGAUCGCUGCAGGACGCGCCGGCUUUUGCUGCCUGCCGCCGCCGGCGGGGCUGAAUCGGGACCGCAGGCAGCUGGCGGAGGGGCCGGAGCCGCACCGGGCUGCCGGACUUCCUCCCCCGCCGCUUUUCCGGCAGCUAAGCCGCACUUCGUCCGCUUUGAAUUUUUUCUUUUCUUUUUCGAUACUCUGAAACCGCGCACGAGAAACACUUCAAGUCUUCCCUCCCUUGCCACUUACUUCGCCCUUCCCCUAGCGCCUCUGAGGUGUAUUCCCAGGGAGGCGGGGGGAGACCGAGCCGAGCCGAGCCGGGCCGGGCCGGGCCGAGCCGAGCGCGGCGCCGCUCCAUGCCCCCGGGCGCUGGCGGGGCGCGGGGCGUGUGCCGGCGAUGCCCGGGCGGUGAGGCCGGAGCUCCCCCGCGACGGGAGGCGGCCGAUCCUUAGGUGUUUCCAGCAGGAAGCGGGGCUGCAGGAUGAAUAAGAGAUACUUACAGAAGGCAACAAAAGGAAAACUGCUAAUAAUAAUAUUUGUUGUAACACUGUGGGGGAAAUUAGCAUCUGGGGCAAAUCAUCAUAAAGCUCACCAUGUUAAAACUGGGACCUGUGAAGUGGUGGCACUCCACAGAUGUUGCAAUAAGAACAAGAUAGAAGAGAGAUCACAGACGGUGAAGUGCUCCUGCUUCCCUGGGCAGGUAGCAGGUACCACCCGGGCAGCUCCUUCUUGUGUUGAUGCUUCAAUAGUGGAGCAGAAAUGGUGGUGCCACAUGCAACCAUGUCUUGAAGGGGAGGAAUGUAAAGUUCUUCCAGAUCGUAAGGGAUGGAGCUGUUCCUCUGGGAAUAAAGUAAAAACAACUAGGGCAAACGUGUAAAACUCCUCAAGUCCGAAUGGAGAAGUAGAGAAAGGAGGUUUCUGCUGUGCCUGAUGACAAUUUUUGAUUUUUCCACACACACAAAAUAUUCUGGCUCCACGUUGGAGCACUAGUUGUGAUGAAUUCUAGUCUUGGUCGGACUCUAAGGAAGGGCCAGAACGUUCGUUGAGGAAUAAAGAGUCAAACCACUCCAGAAAAUGUGUUCCAGCCCUGGUUUAUUACUCACAGAGCAGCAGGUAACCCGAUAGCUAAAGACAAAUCAAGUCAGUCUCAAGGCUGAUAACAUUAAAUACAACACAUAGGAAUUUAAUUCCUCCAGGCAAUCCUUGAAGUGAAAUUUUAUACUGCUGGGGUGUAUCCUUCAGAAUCAAUUGUUUCAAUGAGAACCUGGCUUGUAAUCAGCAACAGCCUUGAGAUCAAAACUACUGAAAAGUUAUUCUGAACUUCUGUGUCACAAAGAUUUCAACUGAUUGAACUGUGUACACUUUUAAAAUUGCCCUUGCUGAGGAAUUUGCAGCUGUAAUCACAAGAGUUGAUAUUCAAAAGGUGCAGAAAAGAAGCAAUCUUUGGAUUCUCCAUUCCAGACCAGCGGCUCUUCAUCUUGAUGAAGUCAAACUCCAAAAUGUAUUGGUUCCUUCUCUCUAAAAUGAUCCCUGGUCCACCAUUCAGAUUGCUGGUGGGACUGCACACUGCUUUAAUUAAAUUUCUGUUGCAGAAAUUGUCCUCUGGCAUGGCGCAGUUUUAGACAUUUUUAUUUGUAUUCUAAUCUUGGAGCUCUCAAAGGUACAUAUUUCAACAUCUUGAAGUUGCUUUUGUUAUAGGAAUGGAAAUAUAUAUCCAUUGUUAAUAAUUAUUGUUGACAAGUAAUAGUUAUCUGAAUACAUCAGUCAUAUUAGAAUGUAUAGUCAGGUUGACAUGUUUCCCUAAGGCUAACCAGCUACUGCAGCUCUUUGGCAGUUAAAAAAGUAGUGGUCAAAACUCAAUUACCACUUCCAUUAUAAGGCAUUUUAUACCUUUAAGAUAUACAUUUCCAUUUAGUUUGAAGGAGAUGGGUGUUCCUGAUACGUACUUUACUUUCCCAACCUUUAAUUCAUUGAAAUUCAUGGUAAGCAAUGACAGUAUUUCGUCCCUUUUUAUAAAGGUAGGCAGGGAUGUAAAUGAGUUUUGCAAUUAUGAAAUUGGAUGGUAAUCAUUCAGAAUUUUUGUCUUUUUAUUAAAAAAUAAAAUCUCUUGCUUGAACCUAAGUACUGUUGGAUGCUUAUGUAGAUGUCUGCUCAGUCUGUUUGCUAUCAAGGAAAAAAAAGUCCUAGUGCCCUCCCAGAUUUACAGUUUGUGGGUAUUUUGCUUGCUUACAGUCAUCCAAUUCAGAUCUGAUCCUUGCCAAAAUCACAUUUACUUUUUCAUUUUUUGUUUCAGUAGCAAUUUUUGAACUUUGUGAUGUGCUGUUACAUGAAAAAAAUCCUCAAUAUUUAAAGGCCUUAAGCAUCUAUGAGCUUUUUUCUAAGUUAUUACAGAAUGUAUAAUUUUAUACUCCAUUUAAUGUAUAUUGUACCAUCUGUAAUAUUGAUACAACAGAAAUUUGGCAAUGCCUUUUAGUGACACUGCAUAAGCAUGCUGACUGGAGAGGGUGAGGGAGUUCUGACUGUGUGCUUUGGUGGAUUGAAAUGAAAACCACACACGCUUAAUGAUAGUCCAAAAUAUAUAGGGCCAAGCUUAUUUAAAAGUCCUGUGUGGUUACCAGACCCCCAGAAAAAGAGGGAAAUGAUUUUAUCAUUACAAGCCAUUGACGUGGCUAGGUAGUUAUAUAUUAAGUUCCAUGAUGGAUGAACACCCUGGAGUGCUCUGCCUGUCACAGUAGCCCCUGCUGUUCCAAAACCAUUUCAUUACCUCUGCUGUAUUAUUGCACAGGAGAGCUUAAAUAAAAUAAAUGACUGUUGGGAAUGAAACUGAGAAGUAUAUUCUAUCAUUCUGCUGAGAAAUAAAAAAUGUUGGCAGGGAAAGAUAUUCUUUUCUGAUUAAAAUUUAAUUAGGAUAAACUGUAGCAGCAACUAGGUAUCUCAGUAUUUUAGGAUGGAUUAAUAUUGUAUGGAAUUGUGCUAACAGGUGCAGGACAGAAGGUAGCAUCUUCAAGAGGCUGUUUGGGACAAUGCAAAGUGUAAAUGUACUGGUUUGUAAAAUUUGAAUAUGGCCUCUCUUUGGUCAAAAAUCUACAUCAUGCUUCUCAAUAUUUGUUUUCCUUGUUUCUUUGUUCUUAAACCAACACUGAAAAUACUGUAUUAUAUACAAGUGUAACACAUGCAUAUCAAUAAGUGCAAAUAAAUGGAUUUUCAAAUAUACUGAAUAGAUUAUCUGCUGUAGAUUAAUGUUGUGAAUAUUCAUAGCAAGUGAAUAAAAUUGUAAUAUAAAAUUGA